rnacentral:rRNA from 1 species
AUUGAACGCUGGCGGCAGGCUUAACACAUGCAAGUCGAGCGGGGUGAUGGUGCUUGCACUAUCACUUAGCGGCGGACGGGUGAGUAAUGCUUAGGAAUCUGCCUAUUAGUGGGGGACAACAUCUCGCAAGGGAUGCUAAUACCGCAUACGUCCUACGGGAGAAAGCAGGGGAUCACUUGUGACCUUGCGCUAAUAGAUGAGCCUAAGUCGGAAUAGCUAGUUGAUGGGGUAAAGGCCUACCAAGGCGACGAGCUGUAGCGGGUCUGAGAGGAUGAUCCGCCACACUGGGACUGAGACACGGCCCAGACUCCUACGGGAGGCAGCAGUGGGGAAUAUUGGACAAUGGGGGGAACCCUGAUCCAGCCAUGCCGCGUGUGUGAAGAAGGCCUUAUGGUUGUAAAGCACUUUAAGCGAGGAGGAGGCUCUUUUGGUUAAUACCCAAGAUGAGUGGACGUUACUCGCAGAAUAAGCACCGGCUAACUCUGUGCCAGCCGCCGCCGUAA